rnacentral:lncRNA from 1 species
AAAAUUACCAAGGUUCUGUUAAUUAAAAAACAUUUUUUGAAUCUUUCCAAAUACAAAGAGUAUUCCUAUUAUUAGCUCAUUAUCAAUCAAAAAGCUAAGGAUUAGUGUAUGUCAUUAAUAGAAUCUUGUGCUUUCCUUUUAAGUAGCUUUAAAUAUGUUUUCUUAGAGGUUUGUAAUCAGAAAAAGUUCUUUUUAAAAUCUUUUUACUAAAAAAUCUAUUCCAAGGUUCUAAAAAAUCAACUAAAAAACCAAAUGAUACUGUCUCCCCUCAGCAGAGCUUAUAAUCUUAUGGAGAAUGCAGAAAAGCAGACAGGUGUUUAAAAUGCAGUGAGGAAAUGCAUUGUACUAGUUGCUAUAUUUUGGGUCUCGAUUUCCCCCAAUGACCUAUGAUUACCAAGUCUUGGUCACCAAUCUGUGGCACUGUUAGAAGGUGGUAAAACAUUUUAAGAGGUAGGAAGUUAGGUUUUUAGGAGCCAUGCCCUCAGAAGGGUUAUUAGAAGCCAGUGGUCUCCUCCAGUUGCUUCUCUCUCCUUCCUGGUUGCCAUGAGGUGAAUAGCUCUACCACACACCCUCCUGCCACAGUGGACUGUGCAACCAUAGGCCCAAGCAACGAGGCCACACAAUGAAGUUCUGAAACUAUACGCCAAAAUUACCCCUUCCUUUUAAAAAGUUAAAAAAGUUGUCAGGUAUUUUGUCACAGUAACAGAAUGAUAAAUAUUGGUUUAGGACCACCUCACAUGGAACCAUCUUUUCUGAGCCCUGAAGGCUCAAGACACUUUAGCUGAUAAAAUGAGCCUAUACACGGAACCAGGAUAUGCACAGGCCUGGAGAUAAGAGGAUGGAAACUGGGCUAAAAAUGGAGUAUGAAAGGGAACUGGAGAGAGAAGGUUGACAGGAAAGGAGAAGGAAUUCCUCAAGAACCUUGGUGGCUUUUAUGCAGGGAAGUGAGGGGACCAGAUCUGCUUGCCUCAGAGUGAUUCAAGGAGUAAGAGUGGAAGUUGGUUACAUAAGAAAAAAAAUUGUUUUAACUGAGUGGUUAAGCGGGUGGAGCAGAGUGGAUGGAAUCUGAAUAUUUUAAGUAUGGCUAAUAGGAAGUGGUAAAUGAAUGGCUGAGUUUGUGUGGAAAUCAGGGGUGAUUCAGAAUUUUUUGGCUUUGGCAACUAGAUAGAGGAGGUGCCCUUUGCUUAUGUAGAUAGGAGACCAGUUUGGGCAUAAGGAUUUUCUAGAGAUUGUGAUGUCUUUGGGAUAUCCUGAUUAAGUUGGCAAGUAGUUUUGCCUGAAUCGGAAAAAUGUAAUCUGAGGUGAUUGAUGAAUGGAAGACCACAUGGCCCUAGACAUGUAAAUUAAUGCUUUGGGGGUUGUAGUUGUUGGAUUACAGGAAAAAGCUCACGUUAAACACACCAUACCACUGUUAGGUAAAUUGCUGUGUCUGUUUUAUUGUUUUGCUUUCACAUGGCUUGAUUUUCUGACAAAUAAUAUAUUCCCUUAAGUAUUAGUCAAAGAGCACCCUAUUUAAAAGAUUUGGAAGAAGCACUUGCUUCUUCUUUUCCCCUCUGGCUGUGCUUCUGGGUGCUGGAAAAAGAUGGCAACAGGAAGAUAAGCAUUAUGCAGGGCCACACAUAGCUAAAACCAGUAGCAGAAGGAUGAAACUGGACCCACAGAUCUGACAAGUGAAAGUGACUGGUGACACUAGGGAGAACUCUUGCUUGAAGGGGGACAGAGGCUGGAAAAUAGGUUGAAGCAGAGAGUCAGGUGAAGAAAUGGAAGACUUGACUCAGCUGGGCUUGAGGAAUACUUUCCCCUACUGUAUUCUAGGAAGAUUUGGUGUGACUGGAAAACAUCACAAACUGCAAGCCCUACAACUCAGUUAAAAUCCACUAUUCUCUGUCUCAAGACUUAAUCUUUGCUUAGGAAUGCCCUAUUUGGCCCUUUUGCCACUCCCACUUCAUUUCUGCCCUGCGCCUUUGGCUUCCUCUAGACUCCCAAGCCUCUUCUGGCCAGUACUACAGAUCCUUUAAGUUUACGCUGAAAUAAGAUAGCCCAGGAAGGCUCCUCCCUCUCGUGAUUAGGCCUUGCCCCUUACCACUGUAAGCAUAAACUUGAGAUAAAAAAAAAAAAAAAAUCUUCCUAAGACUUCAUACAGUGUGAGAUCUAGUCAUUGAUACUUGCGCUCUCACUUAUGUGCUUGUGAGGUUUCUUAAAAGAUGUAAAAAGACAUCCUGAUGGCAAUAAUCCAUCAAAGUGAGCUGACUAAAGAAGGCAAGAAAGUCACUAGGACCUUGGGACUUAGGAAAGAUGUGAGAACACAGGAUGUCUGGGAUGCAGAAUUGGGAGGUCUGGCAAGUUAAAGUGUGAUGGAAAGUGGUUCCUUGACUGAUCUUUGCAAUAUUGGUUUAAACACAAAUUGGUUUAUCACAUGCCUCCAAAUCUAAGGAGAGCAGGGAAUCAGAAUUGUUUCUGCAGUGAGGGACUAUAAAAACUUGGGAUGACUGAACAUUUUCAUUAUCCUUGUUAUCCUACACCUUACAAGUGUUUAAAAUAUUCGCUUCUGAAGAGUUGAGAUGACCUGACAUGUUUGCCUUCACACUAGGGUUUUUACUGUAGUCCUCGAAUACUGCCUUCCACACAAAUGAGUGUCAGCUUUUGGAGGACCAUGUGAUGAUAUUAUGCAGCAGCUCCCUGAAUAAGGUGCAGUACCUGCAACAUCUGCUUAAAACUCAAAAACAUCAGUCAACCUUCAAGGACAGCAUGGUGCUUUAUGUCACCUGUUGACUUAUAGAAUAAACUCUCAUAACCAGAGCAAGGAGAUUGUUACAUCAAGAUUG